GGUGGAUUAGUGGCGAACGGGUGAGUAACACGUGAGCAACCUGCCCCUGACUCUGGGAUAAGCGCUGGAAACGGCGUCUAAUACUGGAUAUGUCCCAUCACCGCAUGGUGUGUGGGUGGAAAGAUUUUUCGGUUGGGGAUGGGCUCGCGGCCUAUCAGCUUGUUGGUGAGGUAAUGGCUCACCAAGGCGUCGACGGGUAGCCGGCCUGAGAGGGUGACCGGCCACACUGGGACUGAGACACGGCCCAGACUCCUACGGGAGGCAGCAGUGGGGAAUAUUGCACAAUGGGCGGAAGCCUGAUGCAGCAACGCCGCGUGAGGGAUGACGGCCUUCGGGUUGUAAACCUCUUUUAGCAGGGAAGAAGCGAGAGUGACGGUACCUGCAGAAAAAGCACCGGCUAACUACGUGCCAGCAGCCGCGGUAAUACGUAGGGUGCAAGCGUUAUCCGGAAUUAUUGGGCGUAAAGAGCUCGUAGGCGGUCUGUCGCGUCUGCUGUGAAAUUCCGAGGCUCAACCUCGGGCUUGCAGUGGGUACGGGCAGACUAGAGUGCGGUAGGGGAGAUUGGAAUUCCUGGUGUAGCGGUGGAAUGCGCAGAUAUCAGGAGGAACACCGAUGGCGAAGGCAGAUCUCUGGGCCGUAACUGACGCUGAGGAGCGAAAGGGUGGGGAGCAAACAGGCUUAGAUACCCUGGUAGUCCACCCCGUAAACGUUGGGAACUAGUUGUGGGGUCCUUUCCACGGAUUCCGUGACGCAGCUAACGCAUUAAGUUCCCCGCCUGGGGAGUACGGCCGCAAGGCUAAAACUCAAAGGAAUUGACGGGGACCCGCACAAGCGGCGGAGCAUGCGGAUUA
rnacentral:rRNA from 1 species